rnacentral:rRNA from 1 species
GACGAACGCUGGCGGCGUGCUUAACACAUGCAAGUCGAACGGAAAGGCCCUGCUUUUGUGGGGUGCUCGAGUGGCGAACGGGUGAGUAACACGUGAGUAACCUGCCCUUGACUUUGGGAUAACUUCAGGAAACUGGGGCUAAUACCGGAUAGGAGCUCCUGCUGCAUGGUGGGGGUUGGAAAGUUUCGGCGGUUGGGGAUGGACUCGCGGCUUAUCAGCUUGUUGGUGGGGUAGUGGCUUACCAAGGCUUUGACGGGUAGCCGGCCUGAGAGGGUGACCGGCCACAUUGGGACUGAGAUACGGCCCAGACUCCUACGGGAGGCAGCAGUGGGGAAUAUUGCACAAUGGGCGGAAGCCUGAUGCAGCAACGCCGCGUGCGGGAUGACGGCCUUCGGGUUGUAAACCGCUUUCGCCUGUGACGAAGCGUGAGUGACGGUAAUGGGUAAAGAAGCACCGGCUAACUACGUGCCAGCAGCCGCGGGGAUACGUAGGGUGCGAGCGUUGUCCGGAUUUAUUGGGCGUAAAGGGCUCGUAGGUGGUUGAUCGCGUCGGAAGUGUAAUCUUGGGGCUUAACCCUGAGCGUGCUUUCGAUACGGGUUGACUUGAGGAAGGUAGGGGAGAAUGGAAUUCCUGGUGGAGCGGUGGAAUGCGCAGAUAUCAGGAGGAACACCAGUGGCGAAGGCGGUUCUCUGGGCCUUUCCUGACGCUGAGGAGCGAAAGCGUGGGGAGCGAACAGGCUUAGAUACCCUGGUAGUCCACGCUGUAAACGGUGGGUACUAGGUGUGGGGUCCAUUCCACGGGUUCCGUGCCGUAGCUAACGCUUUAAGUACCCCGCCUGGGGAGUACGGCCGCAAGGCUAAAACUCAAAGGAAUUGACGGGGCCCCGCACAAGCGGCGGAGCAUGCGGAUUAAUUCGAUGCAACGCGUAGAACCUUACCUGGGUUUGACAUGGAUCGGGAGUGCUCAGAGAUGGGUGUGCCUCUUUUGGGGUCGGUUCACAGGUGGUGCAUGGCUGUCGUCAGCUCGUGUCGUGAGAUGUUGGGUUAAGUCCCGCAACGAGCGCAACCCUUGUUCACUGUUGCCAGCACGUUAUGGUGGGGACUCAGUGGAGACCGCCGGGGUCAACUCGGAGGAAGGUGGGGAUGACGUCAAGUCAUCAUGCUCCUUAUGUCCAGGGCUUCACGCAUGCUACAAUGGCUGGUACAGAGAGUGGCGAGCCUGUGAGGGUGAGCGAAUCUCGGAAAGCCGGUCUCAGUUCGGAUUGGGGUCUGCAACUCGACCUCAUGAAGUCGGAGUCGCUAGUAAUCGCAGAUCAGCAACGCUGCGGUGAAUACGUUCCCGGGGCU